ensembl:misc_RNA Y_RNA Y RNA
AGCUGGUCCAAAGGUAGUGAGUUACCUCAAUUGAUGAUGUAAUCAGUAACAGAUCAAACUUGUUCUACUCUCUUCCCCCACUUUUCACUAUUGCACUUGACUAGUCUAAA